rnacentral:rRNA from 1 species
UACGGAGGGUGCGAGCGUUGUCCGGAAUCAUUGGGCGUAAAGGGCGCGUAGGUGGCCCGGUCAGCGUGCGGUGAAAGCUCGGGGCUCAACCCCGAGUCGGCCGUGCGAACUGCUGGGCUCGAGCACUGUAGAGGCAGGCGGAAUUCCGGGUGUAGCGGUGGAAUGCGUAGAGAUCCGGAAGAACACCGGUGGCGAAGGCGGCCUGCUG